rnacentral:rRNA from 1 species
UACGUAGGGGGCGAGCGUUGUCCGGAAUUACUGGGCGUAAAGGGUGCGUAGGCGGUUUGGUAAGUUGGAUGUGAAAUACCCGGGCUUAACUUGGGGGCUGCAUCCAAUACUGUCGGACUUGAGUGCAGGAGAGGAAAGCGGAAUUCCUAGUGUAGCGGUGAAAUGCGUAGAUAUUAGGAGGAACACCGGUGGCGAAGGCGGCUUUCUGGACUGUAACUGACGCUGAGGCA